rnacentral:rRNA from 1 species
UACGGAGGGAGCUAGCGUUGUUCGGAAUUACUGGGCGUAAAGCGCGCGUAGGCGGCUUUGUAAGUUAGAGGUGAAAGCCCGGGGCUCAACCCCGGAAUUGCCUUUAAGACUGCAUCGCUAGAAUCCGGGAGAGGUGAGUGGAAUUCCGAGUGUAGAGGUGAAAUUCGUAGAUAUUCGGAAGAACACCAGUGGCGAAGGCGGCUCACUGGACCGGCAUUGACGCUGAGGUGCGAAAGCGUGGGGAGCAAACAGG